UCAAACAGUAAUGAAACCAAGGAACAAUAUGACAUCCUUAUGUGCAUUAAUAAUAAAUAUAGUAUAAAUGAUAAAAGAUUCACAUCAAAAAUUUGUUUAUCAAGCAUACAAAAUUAAAGCAGAUUCACUUUUAAAACAAUCUGGACACUAAGGGAAUUAAUAAAGAUAAAUGGUCCUUUUACACCUACAGAAGAAAACUAAUACAACUAAUUUAAACAUAAUAGAAUACAAUUCAUUUAAAUAAGAGGUUUUUUUUUUUGCUGUUGUUGUUCUCUGAACCUAGUUUCUAUUUUUGGGCUUGUUUCUCUGCUACAGAAUUCGUAACAGUUGUUUCAUUGUAUUUUAUAAAUAAUGCUAAACUUAGAAAACAAAACUAACAUAUUAAACAGAGAGUAAGUAAUCAAAAAAUUAAAGAAGCACUUCUAAUACAAUGACUCAAACCCACUUUAAACCAGUAUCAAGGAAUACAUUUAUACCUAUAUUAAUUAUUUCGUUAAACAUGUUCGUGCAUAAUAUCACACUGUUGACUACCAAUAUAUUAAUACAAUCAAAUAUACAUAAUUCUCCCUACAACCGUAUAGCUAUUAUUAUAGUCGUCCCCACAAACACAUAAUCAAUAAAAGUCACUUUCUCAAAGUCAUUCUUAACCUAAUGAUGACCUAAGUAGGUCAAAACUUACUUGUUUUGUGUUUUAAAUAAAAUCAAAACACUGCAAAAACUACAACAUGCUUUGAAAUAUUAUAACUGAGUAUUGGAACAAUUUGAAUCAAGAUAUUCUUAAUAAAUUAAUUGAAUCAAUGCCCGACAUGCUUUUUUCGAAGCAUAGGAAGGACACCAAAUAUUAGCUUUUUUGGAUGCUGUACUACACAGAGAAUAAAUUUCAUGCUUUAAAUAUCUGUUUUAUCUAAAAAUAAUCAAAUAGAAUCAGAUUUUUGAAUAAAUACUGUACGUGACCAUAUCAAGAAGUAAAAGCUGAUAAUGGCAAGAAAUUACCAAAAAUAAUUUAUCUGAAAUAUCAAGCAUAACAUCAGGGUUAACUAUGAAAAACUGUCUCAAAAGUAAGAACUAACACUAGUGUUGAUUCAUCUUUGGUAGUGUUUAGGGAUUAGAAAUUAUGAGUUAUCUAUGGCUAUAUUAAGUUUGUUUCACACAAAGCUUGACAAUGGGCUAUCUGCACUCAAUCCCACUGACGACUAUUGAACCCCUGAUUUUAGCAUUGGAAGUCCAGCAACUUAAUGCUGACCCAACUGUUGGGAGAGUCACUAUAUCUGGAUAUACUCAGAAUUGUGUUAAAUGUGGAAUAAUUGGAAAAAAAAAUACUUAAUUUGUGAUGCACAUCUCUAUCUAUAAUAGUACAUAUCUGCUUAUAUCAUUGUAUCAGAGGUGUCACCCGAAUAACAAUUUACAUAGACUACUAAACUAAAAUUCAACAUAAAAAGGAAAAUAACAACUCUUGAAAUGAGGUGAUUAAAGAAACCAAACAUGGAAAACGACAUAGAAAAGCAUCUAUUUUACCAACCCAAUAUUUUGAACCAAAGAAAAAUUGAUACGAUUGCAUCAACAGUCCAGUAAACCACCUCUGUGUUCCUCAUAAAAUAAAAUACAAGAACAGUUUCCCUAAUUAACUCCUGUGAUAUACUAUUAAUAAAAAGGAUCUGCAGAAAGGAGUGUUCAUGUGUAUGAUGAUUCCAAGAAUGUUUUUCUUUAUAAUCUACAAGGUUUUUGUAAACAACACUCAUCAAAAAAAGAUAACUUAAAUAAAUAAGUUAACUUAAAUAAAUGGUGUCUAAAAUACCAAAUCUUAAGUACAAAAGAGUCCAAACCAUAGAUCUACCAAAUAGAGUAUUAUACCAAAAAAGUUCUCAUGACUUUGAGGUUUAACAGGAUCCUAAUAUAAUCCUUUCCAAUUAAAAAACAAACAAACAUGUAUAUAUAUAGGAAAAAAAGUUCAAAAUUUCAGGUUGUUAUGUUUAAUUUGGCAACUUAAUGUUUUGAAAUUUUUCUUGUUGAAACACUUCAUACAAUUGUUUUUAUCUAUGUUCAACUAACUUUCAUACAAUUAAAUCAGCAUGAAAGUGUGACAAUUUUUGGCACCAGGUUUUGACUCCAUUUCCCACAUAUUGUACGUCAAGAGCCCAAACCACCAGACCUCCUAUAAAACUGAAAAAUGCACAAAACUUUGACCCAGUUUUUCUCGAAAGAUUUUGACGGAUCAACCCAGCAGAGUGGACUCAGUGGUUAAAGUGGGAUUAUGAAGAAGGGGGACUCCCCUUUUGUCAUUCACUUUGCAGUAGAAACAACCUUAGACAGAGGUAUUAAUGAAAUCCCCUAAAUUUCUGCA
rnacentral:lncRNA from 1 species